rnacentral:tRNA from 1 species
UACCUUUUAGUAUAUGUUGUACACUAAUUUUUGAUAUUAGUAGAAAUAGUUAAAUUCUAUUAGGGGUAA